rnacentral:rRNA from 1 species
CAUUUCUUCAUAUACAUAUAUAAAGUAUAGCCUGCCCACUGAAAUUAAUUUAAGGGCCGCAGUAUUCUAACUGUGCAAAGGUAGCAUAAUCACUAGUUCCCUAAUUAGGAAAAAGAAUGAAAGGCCUAACAUUUUAUUAUUUUCUUAGUAAUUAAAAAAAGAAAUUUAAAUUAACGUGAAAAUGCCUUAUUACCAAUACAGGACGAUAAGACCCUAUAGAGCUUUAUUUAAUUUAAACAUUAAAUUUUACUGGGGCAGUAUAAGAAAAAAAAAACUUCUUAUAUUAAAUAUUUUUAAUAAAAACAUAUAAUCAUCCAUAUUUAAGAAAAAAAAGCUACCUUAGGGAUAACAGCGUUAUAUAUUUGAAGAGAUCUUAUCAAUAAAUUAUCUUGCGACCUCGAUGUUGAAUUAAAUUAAAUUAAUUAAGAAGAAUUAAUUAAAUAUUAGUCUGUUCGACUAUAAAAAUUUACAUGAUUUGA